UGCGUAGGCGGAUAAAUAAGUCAGUGGUGAAAUCUUUCGGCUCAACCGGGAAACUGCCAUUGAUACUGUUUAUCUUGAGUUCGGUUGAGGUAGGCGGAAUGUGUAAUGUAGCGGUGAAAUGCUUAGAUAUUACACAGAACACCAAUUGCGUAGGCAGCUUACUAGACCGAUACUGACGCUGAGGCACGAAAGCGUGGGUAGCGAACAGGAUUAGAUACCCUGGUAGUCC
rnacentral:rRNA from 1 species